rnacentral:pre_miRNA from 1 species
AAUAAAUACAGUUUUGCACUGUUUAUAUCUAACGUUUGGCCAUUCGUCAUAUCUAAAAAUUUAUUAUGAUUACUAUUUUUAUUGUUAUUAGGUGAUAAAAUAUGAAUAAUACUUUAUGUGUGACUAAUUCUUUUUAAUUUUUUUUAUAAUUUUUUCAAAUAAGAUAAACGGUUGAUACGGAUACCGACGGCUGCACUUAUU